rnacentral:rRNA from 1 species
UACGUAGGGUGCGAGCGUUAAUCGGAAUUACUGGGCGUAAAGUGUGCGCAGGCGGCCGAGCAAGUCGAGUGUGAAAGCCCCGGGCUUAACUUGGGAAUUGCGCUCGAAACUACUUGGCUGGAGUGUGGCAGAGGAAGGUGGAAUUCCAGGUGUAGCGGUGAAAUGCGUAGAUAUCUGGAGGAACACCGGUGGCGAAGGCGGCAUCCUGGACCGACACUGACGCUGAGGAGCGAAAGCCAGGGGAGCAAACGGG